UACGAAGGGGGCUAGCGUUGUUCGGAAUUACUGGGCGUAAAGCGCGUGUAGGCGGGUCUUUAAGUCAGGGGUGAAAUGCCAAGGCUCAACCUUGGAACUGCCUUUGAUACUGGAGAUCUUGAGUCCGGGAGAGGUGAGUGGAACUGCGAGUGUAGAGGUGAAAUUCGUAGAUAUUCGCAAGAACACCAGUGGCGAAGGCGGCUCACUGGCCCGGUACUGACGCUGAGGCACGAAAGCGUGGGGAGCAAACAGGG
rnacentral:rRNA from 1 species